GUGCUCGCUUUGGCAGCAUGUAUACUAAAACUGGAAUGAUACAGAGAAGAUUAGCACGGCCCCUGUGCAAAGAUGACAUACAAAUUUGUGAAGUGUUCCAUGUUUUA
rnacentral:snRNA from 1 species